CAUGUUGCUUUGAGUAGAUCUGACUUUACAGAGAGAAAUCACCAUCCCAAUAUCAACAUAAAGCCACCAUCAAACAGAAACAGCCACGAUACAUAAGUUGCAGAUUUCUCCGGCGGCUGCGAGCGGCUGCUUGUGGAACGCUCCCAUCUAGUGGACGUCGUCUGACAUCGCAGGCUGCUUCAGGUGAAAGUGCACAAGGCUCCUGAAGAACUGAAGGGAGAGCUCAUAGCUCAGGAACAUGGUGGCGCUCAUCGGGAAGCCUCGGAUGGCGUUGACUGACGUUCCGCGGAAGAAAACCUGCACACGAGAACGUACAACUCUUAGUGAAACACAAACUUAAUCCCAAAGAACACAGUGUUCAGAUCGUGUCCUGUAAGAACUCGUUGAUCUGUGACCGUUAGUCCGUUUUGUUGCAACACUAAUGACGCUCGGUUUUUGAUCACGUGAUGAAGCUUUUUUUUUUUUUUCCAUGUUAGAAGUCUGGAUAGUUUGUCGACAUUUUGUAACCUCGGAUUGUCAUGAACAUUCGAGCUCCUGGACGCAUCAUUUGGCAGCACGUGUUGUUGGUUUUAGUCCAAUAGGACGGCCAUGUUGCAACCAUUCACCUGACGUGAACCCGCUGAAGACUUGAAGGGCAACAGAUCUACUGUCGACUCCGAACAGCUGCAUCUAAUAAAACCAUGUCAUCAUUUUGGAUGAA